rnacentral:rRNA from 1 species
UGUCAUUCCCAUUGAAAGCUCCGGCACUUCGAGAAGAGCCUAUGGCCUAUCAGCUAGUUGGUGAGGUAAAAGCUCACCAAGGCGAUGACGGGUAGGGGACGUGAGAGCGUGAUCCCCCUCACUGGGACUGAGACACUGCCCAGACACCUACGGGUGGCUGCAGUCGAGAAUAUUCGGCAAUGGGCGAAAGCCUGACCGAGCGACGCCGCGUGCCAGAUGAAGGCCUUCGGGUCGUAAAUGGCUUUUUUCAGGGACGAACAAAUGACGGUACCUGAAGAAUAAGAGGUUGCUAACUCUGUGCCAGCAGCAGCGGUAAUACAGAGACCUCGAGCGUUAUCCGGAAUUAUUGGGCGUAAAGGGUCCGCAGGCGGCCCGGUAAGUCAUGUGUUAAAUGUUCGGGCUCAACCCGAACACCGCGCGUGAUACUGCCAGGCUAGAGACUGGGAGAGGUACAUGGAAUUGCCGGUGUAGCGGUAAAAUGCGUUAAUAUCGGCAAGAACACCAAAGGCGAAGGCAAUGUACUGGAACAGUUCUGACGCUCAGGGACGAAAGCACGGGGAGCGAAAGGGAUUAGAUACCCCUGUAGUCCGUGCCCUAAACGAUGAGUGCUAGAUAUCGGGAGUAUCGACCCUCUCGGUGUCGGUUAACCUAGCUAACGCAUUAAGCACUCCGCCUGGGAAGUACGAUCGCAAGAUUAAAACUCAAAGGAAUAGACGGGGACCCGCACAAGCGGUGGAGCAUGUGGUUUAAUUCGAUGGUAAGCGAAGAACCUUACCUGGGCUUGAAAGACAGCUGCAAGCCGCUGGAAACAGUGGCCGCCUUCGAGGGUGCUGUCUAGGUGCUGCAUGGUUGUCGUCAGCUCGUGGCGUGAGCUGUUCCCUUCAGUGGGGUAACGAGCGCAACCCUCGUCAUGCGUUAUUCUGUCGCAUGAGACUGCCUUCGCAAGAAGGAGGAAGGUGAGGAUGAUGUCAAAUCAGCAUGGCCCUUACGUCCAGGGCGACACACGUGCUACAAUGGCCGGUACAAUGGGUUGCGAAGCCGCGAGGCGGAGCUAAUCCCACAAAGCCGGUCCCAGUUCAGAUUGAAGGCUGCAACUCGCCUUCAUGAAGCCGGAAUCGCUAGUAACGGCCGAUCAGCCACGCGGCCGUGAAUACGUUCUCGGGUCUUGUACUCACCGCCCGUCAAGCCAAGAGAGUCGGGGGUACCCGAAUGUCGCCGUAGGGCGACAGAAGGUAAAACCGAUGAUAGGGGCUAAGUCGUAACAAGGCA